AUACGGAGGGGGUUAGCGUUGUUCGGAAUUACUGGGCGUAAAGCGCGCGUAGGCGGAUUAGUAAGUUAGAGGUGAAAUCCCAGGGCUUAACCCUGGAACUGCCUUUAAAACUAGUAGUCUAGAGUUCGAGAGAGGUGAGUGGAAUUCCAAGUGUAGAGGUGAAAUUCGUAGAUAUUUGGAGGAACACCAGUGGCGAAGGCGGCUCACUGGCUCGAUACUGACGCUGAGGUGCGAAAGCGUGGGGAGCAAACAGGAUUAGAAACCCCAGUAGUCC
rnacentral:rRNA from 1 species